CACGUAGGCACCAAGCGUUGUCCGGAAUUAUUGGGCGUAAAGAGCUCGUAGGCGGUUUGUUGCGUCGGCUGUGAAAUCCCGAGGCUCAACCUCGGGUCUGCAGUCGAUACGAGCAAACUAGAGUGUUGCAGGGGAGACUGGAAUUCCUGGUGUAGCGGUGAAAUGCGCGAGAUAUCGAGGAGGAACACCGGUGGCGAAGGCGGAUCUCUGGGCCAUUACUGACGGCUGAGGAGCGAAAGGCGUAGGGGAGGC
rnacentral:rRNA from 1 species